rnacentral:rRNA from 1 species
UGAAUGGAAGGGCCAUCGCUCAACGGAUAAAAGGUACUCCGGGGAUAACAGGCUGAUACCGCCCAAGAGUUCAUAUCGACGGCGGUGUUUGGCACCUCGAUGUCGGCUCAUCACAUCCUGGGGCUGAAGUAGGUCCCAAGGGUAUGGCUGUUCGCCAUUUAAAGUGGUACGCGAGCUGGGUUUAGAACGUCGUGAGACAGUUCGGUCCCUAUCUGCCGUGGGCGCUGGAGAACUGAGGGGGGCUGCUCCUAGUACGAGAGGACCGGAGUGGACGCAUCACUGGUGUUCGGGUUGUCAUGCCAAUGGCACUGCCCGGUAGCUAAAUGCGGAAGAGAUAAGUGCUGAAAGCAUCUAAGCACGAAACUUGCCCCGAGAUGAGUUCUCCCUGACUCCUUGAGAGUCCUGAAGGAACGUUGAAGACGACGACGUUGAUAGGCCGGGUGUGUAAGCGCAGCGAUGCGUUGAGCUAACCGGUACUAAUGAACCGUGAGG